GGGCACAUGGUGUAGUUGGUUAUCACAUCUGCUUAGCAUUAGUAUUGUGGAUCCCCAGGAAUGUUAUGCGGGGGGUGCUGGGUUCAAUUCCCAGUGUGUCCA